rnacentral:rRNA from 1 species
GACGAACGCUGGCGGCGUGCUUAACACAUGCAAGUCGCACGGAGUGGCGAACGGGUGAGUAACACGUGGGUGACCUGCCCUGCACUUCGGGAUAAGCCUGGGAAACUGGGUCUAAUACCGGAUAGUGGGGGAUGGCCCCGGGGCCUAUGCGCUUGUUGGUGGGGUAAUGGCCUACCAAGGCGGCGACGGGCAGCCGGACUGAGAGGGUGGCCGGCCACAUUGGUACUGGGAGACGGACCAGACUCCUACGGGGGGCAGCAGUGGGAAAUAUUGCACAAUGGGCGGAAGCCUGAUGCAGCGACGCCGCGUGGGGGAUGACGGCCUUCGGGUUGUAAACUCCUUUCACCAUCGACGCGGUAGAUGGAGAAGAAGCACCGGCUAACUACGUGCCAGCAGCCGCGGUAAUUC